GUAGUAUUCCCUCCGUCCCAAAAUUCUUGUCUUACAUUUGUUUAGAUACAGAUGUAUCUAACACUAAAAUGUAACUAGAUACAUCCGUAUUUAGACAAAUUUAGGAUAAGAAUUUUGGGACGGAGGGAGUACAAA
rfam:Triticum aestivum genome assembly, contig: Triticum_aestivum_CS42_TGACv1_scaffold_592067_7BS